UGGGGAAUAUUGGACAAUGGGCGCAAGCCUGAUCCAGCCAUGCCGCGUGUGUGAAGAAGGCCUUUUGGUUGUAAAGCACUUUAAGCGAGGAGGAGGCUACUUGGAUUAAUACUCUAGGAUAGUGGACGUUACUCGCAGAAUAAGCACCGGCUAACUCUGUGCCAGCAGCCGCGGUAAUACAGAGGGUGCGAGCGUUAAUCGGAUUUACUGGGCGUAAAGCGUGCGUAGGCGGCUUCUAAAGUCGGAUGUGAAAUCCCUGAGCUUAACUUAGGAAUUGCAUUCGAUACUGGGAAGCUAGAGUAUGGGAGAGGAUGGUAGAAUUCCAGGUGUAGCGGUGAAAUGCGUAGAGAUCUGGAGGAAUACCGAUUGCGAAGGCAGCCAUCUGGCCUAAUACUGACGCUGAGGUACGAAAGCAUGGGGAGCAAACAGG
rnacentral:rRNA from 1 species